GACAGAGGCCCCAAGCGUUAGGCGGAAUCACUGGGCUUAAAGCGUGUGUAGGCGGAUCGUUAAGUGUCUUGUGAAAUCCCACGGCUCACCCGUGGAACUGCUGGGCAUACUGGCGAUCUUGGGCCAACUAGGGGCAGUCGGAACAAGCGGUGGAGCGGUGAAAUGCGUAGAUAUCGCUUGGAACGCCGAAGGUGAAAACAGACUGCUGGGGUUGCGCCGACGCUGAGGCACGAAGGCCAGGGGAGCAAACGGG
rnacentral:rRNA from 1 species